GACGAACGCUGGCGGCGUGCUUAACACAUGCAAGUCGAACGGAAAGGCCCUGCUUUUGUGGGGUGCUCGAGUGGCGAACGGGUGAGUAACACGUGAGUAACCUGCCCUUGACUUUGGGAUAACUUCAGGAAACUGGGGCUACUACCGGAUAGGAGCUCCUGCUGCAUGGUGGGGGUUGGACAGUUUCGGCGGUUGGGGAUGGACUCGCGGCUUAUCAGCUUGUUGGUGGGGUAGUGGCUUACCAAGGCUUUGACGGGUAGCCGGCCUGAGAGGGUGACCGGCCACAUUGGGACUGAGAUACGGCCCAGACUCCUACGGGAGGCAGCAGUGGGGAAUAUUGCACAAUGGGCGGAAGCCUGAUGCAGCAACGCCGCGUGCGGGAUGACGGCCUUCGGGUUGUAAACCGCUUUCGCCUGUGACGAAGCGUGAGUGACGGUAAUGGGUAAAGAAGCACCGGCUAACUACGUG
rnacentral:rRNA from 1 species